GCUGGGCACGGUGGCACGUGCCUGCAGUCCCAGCUACUCAGGAGGCUGAGGUGGGAGGAUCACUUGAGCCCAGGAGUUCUGGGCUGUAGUGCGCUAUAUCGAUCGGGUGUCCGCACUAAGUUCGGCAUCAAUAUGGUGACCUCCUGAGAGCAGGGGACCACCAGGUUGCCUAAGGAGGGGUGAACCGGCCCAGGUUGGAAACGGAGCAGGUCAAAACUCCCAUGCUGAUCAGUAGUGGGAUCGCGCCUGUGAAUAACCACUGCACUCCAGCCUGGGCAACAUAGCGAGACCCCGUCUCU
rnacentral:SRP_RNA from 1 species